rnacentral:rRNA from 1 species
GGUUCAGAACGUCGUGAGACAGUUCGGUCCCUAUCUGCCGUGGUCGUAGGAUAUUUGAGGGGGGCUUCUCCUAGUACGAGAGGGCCGGAGUGGACGCACCAAUGGUGUACCUGUUGUCAUGCCAAUGGCAUAGCAGGGUAGCUAAGUGCGGAAUCGAUAACCGCUGAAUGCAUCUAAGCGGGAAGCGAGCCCCAAGAUUAGAUAUCCCGGAUCUUUGGAUCCCUAAAGGCAUGUCGUAGACUACGACGUUGAUAGGCUGGAGGUGGAAGCGUAGCAAUACGUGGAGCUGACCAGUACUAAUUUGCCGUGCGGCUUAA